UACGAAGGGGGCUAGCGUUGCUCGGAAUCACUGGGCGUAAAGGGUGCGUAGGCGGGUCUUUAAGUCAGGGGUGAAAUCCCUCGGCUUAACCGGGGAACUGCGUCUGAUACUGGAUGGCUUGAGUUUGGGAGAGGGAUGCGGAAUUCCAGGUGUAGCGGUGAAAUGCGUAGAUAUCUGGAGGAACACCGGUGGCGAAGGCGGCAUCCUGGACCAACACUGACGCUGAGUGAGCGAAAGCCAGGGGAGCAAACGGG
rnacentral:rRNA from 1 species